CCCAGUUUAAUCUGCUAGUGAAAGGGAGACAUUCCGCCUCUGUUUUGGGUCAAGAAACGUAAAAUGGUUUUGCUAGCUAAAGAAAAACAAAAACGGAAACAAAAAAAAAUCCCCCAAAAGUCUAGGAUUUUUCAUGCAUCAAAAUCCUGUUUAAAUAUAAGCUUGAUAAAUCUAAACUUGCCUUGCACUAUUUUAAUUACGAGGUGUCAUUACUGAUUUGACAAAAAGUUAAAGAACGUAAAGGAAAAGUGAAACUAGAGUAAAUUUGUAAAUGGAGGCAUUGAAGGGGAUAUGAAAUUCGAGCGUUGUGGUAUGCCAGUAUUUCUCAAAUUUAAACGUACUUAAUGUUUUAGAAGUUGGCCGACUUUUUCUGUAAAGGGCGAUAUUAAAACAUUUUGGGCGUUGCGGACCACAGUGUCAUAGUUACACAGCCCUCGCAUUGGUAGCGGUAAAGUAAUCGAUACAAGAUAAAUGAGACCGGCUGUUUCAUUAUGACUUUUGCAAAAACCAGAGAGGCGUUAUAGAUUUGGCCGUGUAUCAGAGAAGCCGGCACUUUUAACCACUAAGUAAUGCUGAAAGGGGCACCGAACCUCAAACUUCA
rnacentral:lncRNA from 10 species